rnacentral:rRNA from 1 species
GAGAACUCUGGCCAAGGAACUCGGCAAAAUAACCCCGUACCUUCGGAAGAAGGGGUGCUUUUUAGGGUGAAGCGAUUCACUCUGUCGAGCCCUGAAAAGCCGCAGAGAAAUGGUGGUGGCGACUGUUUACUAAAAACAUAGGUCUGUGCCAAGUCGUAUAGACGACGUAUACGGACUGACGCCUGCCCGGUGCUGGAAGGUUAAAAGGAGGAGUCAGCGCAAGCGAAGCUCCGAAUUGAAGCCCCAGUAAACGGCGGCCGUAACUAUAACGGUCCUAAGGUAGCGAAAUUCCUUGUCGGGUAAGUUCCGACCUGCACGAAUGGCGUAACGAUCUCCACACUGUCUCGGCCAGAGACUCGGUGAAAUUGAAGUCGCGGUGAAAAUGCCGUGUACCCGCAGAAAGACGGAAAGACCCUGUGCACCUUUACUAUAGCUUGACAUUGGGAUUUGAGCCUGCAUGUGUAGCAUAGGUGGGAGGCUGUGAACUCUGUACGCCAGUAUGGAGGGAGCCAUCGUUGAAAUACCACCCUUGUUUGUUCAGGUCCCUAACUCCUUGCCGUGAUCCGGUAGGAGGACAGUGUCUGGUGGGUAGUUUGACUGGGGCGGUCGCCUCCCAAAAUGUAACGGAGGCAUGCAAAGGUUCCCUCAGGCUGAUUGGAAACCAGCCGUCGAGUGCAAACGCAAAAGGGAGCUUGACUGCAAGAGAGACAUCUCGAGCAGGUACGAAAGUAGGUGUUAGUGAUCCGGUGAUCCCGAAUGGAAGGGUCAUCGCUCAUUGGAUAAAAGGUACGCCGGGGAUAACAGGCUGAUCGCAUCCAAGAGUUCACAUCGACGAUGCGUUUGGCACCUCGAUGUCGGCUCAUCGCAUCCUGGAGCUGAACCAGGUCCCAAGGGUACGGCUGUUCGCCGUUUAAAGUGGUACGCGAGCUGGGUUUAAAACGUCGUGAGACAGUUUGGUCCCUAUCUUCUGUGGGCGUAGGAGAAUUGAAAGGGCCUGUCCCUAGUACGAGAGGACCGGGAUGGACACACCACUGGUGGACCUGUUGUCGUGCCAACGGCACAGCAGGGUAGCUAUGUGUGGGAGGGAUAACCGCUGAAAGCAUCUAAGCGGGAAGCCUGCCUUAAGAUAAGUUCUCCCUGACGCAAGUCCUGAAGGGCCGAGGUAGACGACCUCGUUGAUAGGCUGGAGGUG